GUUUGAUCCUGGCUCAGGAUGAACGCUAGCGGCAGGCUUAACACAUGCAAGUCGAGGGGUAUAGUUCUUCGGAACUAGAGACCGGCGCACGGGUGCGUAACGCGUAUGCAAUCUACCUUUUACAGAGGGAUAGCCCAGAGAAAUUUGGAUUAAUACCUCAUAGUAUAAUAGCAUGGCAUCAUUCUAUUAUUAAAGUCACAACGGUAAAAGAUGAGCAUGCGUCCCAUUAGCUAGUUGGUAAGGUAACGGCUUACCAAGGCUACGAUGGGUAGGGGUCCUGAGAGGGAGAUCCCCCACACUGGUACUGAGACACGGACCAGACUCCUACGGGAGGCAGCAGUGAGGAAUAUUGGACAAUGGGCGCAAGCCUGAUCCAGCCAUGCCGCGUGCAGGAUGACGGUCCUAUGGAUUGUAAACUGCUUUUAUACGAGAAGAAACACUGCUACGUGUAGCAGCUUGACGGUAUCGUAAGAAUAAGGAU
rnacentral:rRNA from 1 species